rnacentral:rRNA from 1 species
ACGGGUGAGUAAAGCGUAGGAAUCUGCCUAAUGGAGUGGGAUAACCUAGGGAAACUUAGGGUAAUACCGCAUAAGCCUUAAGAGGUAAAGCAGGGGAUUGGAAACGACCUUGCGCUAUUAGAUGAGCCUACGUCGGAUUAGCUAGUUGGUGGGGUAAAGGCCUACCAAGGCGACGAUCCGUAGCUGGUCUGAGAGGACGACCAGCCACACUGGGACUGAGACACGGCCCAGACUCCUACGGGAGGCAGCAGUGGGGAAUAUUGGACAAUGGGCGGAAGCCUGAUCCAGCAAUGCCGCGUGUGUGAAGAAGGCCUGCGGGUUGUAAAGCACUUUCAGUGGGGAGGAGAGGCUCUUGGCUAAUAUCCAAGGGAAGAGACGUUACCCACAGAAGAAGCACCGGCUAACUCUGUGCCAGCAGCCGCGGUAAUACAGAGGGUGCAAGCGUUAAUCGGAAUUACUGGGCGUAAAGGGUGCGUAGGUGGUUUGAUAAGUUGGGUGUGAAAUUCCUGGGCUCAACCGAGGAACUGCGCUCAAUACUGUUAAGCUAGAGUACUGUAGAGGGAAGUGGAAUUUCCAGUGUAGC